ACGCUCGACACCUACGGGAUGCAGCAGUGGGGAAUAUUGCACAAUGGGGGAAACCCUGAUGCAGCAACGCCGCGUGAAGGAAGACGGUUUUCGGAUUGUAAACUUCUGUUCUUAGUGAAGAUAGUGACGGUAGCUAAGGAGCAAGCCACGGCUAACUACGUGCCAGCAGCCGACGGUAAUCUGACGGCGGGCGUGGACGAAGGC
rnacentral:rRNA from 1 species